rnacentral:tRNA from 1 species
GGAGCACUAGCUCAGUCGGUAGAGCACCUGACUUUUAAUCAGGUUGUCGCGGGUUCGAAUCCCGCGUGCUUCA